rnacentral:rRNA from 1 species
UACAGAGGGUGCGAGCGUUAAUCGGAAUUACUGGGCGUAAAGCGUGCGUAGACGGUUAUUUAAGUCGGAUGUGAAAGCCCCGGGCUCAACCUGGGAAUUGCAUUCGAGACUGAAUAGCUAGGGUACGGUAGAGGGAAGUGGAAUUUCCGGUGUAGCGGUGAAAUGCGUUGAUAUCAUCAGGAACACCGGAGGCGAAGGCGGCUCACUGGGGAUUUUCUGACGCUGAGGAACGAAAGCCAGGGGAGCGAACGGG